rnacentral:rRNA from 1 species
CAGUAGCCACGGUAAUACGAAGGGGGCUAGCGUUGCUCGGAAUUACUGGGCGUAAAGGGAGCGUAGGCGGAUCGUUAAGUUGGGGGUGAAAGCCCGGGGCUCAACCUCGGAAUUGCCUUCAAUACUGGCGAUCUUGAGUAUGGAAGAGGUAUGUGGAACUCCGAGUGUAGAGGUGAAAUUCGUAGAUAUUCGGAAGAACACCAGUGGCGAAGGCGACAUACUGGUCCAUUACUGACGCUGAGGCUCGAAAGCGUGGGGAGCAAACAGGAUUAGAUACCCGAGUAGUCCCUGUCUCUUAUAC